UCUCUUACACACACACAAUCAGUCACCACCAAAUCUCACCUCACCUUACCUCACCUCACCAUAGGCGCUCACCAUCGGGAAGCAUUCGACGUCACACAUUGCCACCACCACCGUCACAAAUCGCCACCGUUGCAAAUCACCACCGCCACUGCCGCAAUACCAGGUCUUUGGAUUCAUGAAAUGGGAUGCUCACUGUUGGUGAGCAUGACUUCCCUCAUUUGCUUGAUAAUUUUGCCUAUAAUAUUUUAGUAAGUUGUUUAGCUGUACACUAACGUAUUUUCUGGACUUCAGCAGUUGUUUUUGCUGAAUUCAUUCUUGUUUUCUAUUGAAGAUACCUGUCUCCAUAUACUAAUUUUAACUUUUCUGGUUUGUUUCAGUACAAGGAAAACCAUCAAAGCUAGUUGUGGAUAUCCAGUAUUCAAUGUUGCAAUAAAAUUUGUCCAUAGCUAAUCCAAAAAAGGUGAUUCAAUCACUACACUUAUUGUCACUCAACAGCAGCUGGAUCAUUCAACCUACACUACAUAAGCUUUAGCCCAAAGUGGAUAUGAGGAAAAUGUGCCCACUGUUAAACAACAUACACAAAUCUUUCCAUCUUUGGAAAGAAUCGUUCCUAGCUGCUACUCGUGAACUUCUGAGUAUAUAUAGAAAGGAUGAAGGGAAACAAUUGUCGUAAAGUUGCCUUGUUCAAACAUAAAGAUGGCUUUUGGCGUGGACUUGUGGAUAGUCUACAUUUUUGUUUAUGGAGGACACUUGACACUUUUGUAUAAUCCUGCUAACUAUGUCUUCCUCUGCUUUUGUGAAAUUAUUUUUUGUAUACGGAGGGCUUUGAUUUUUGUAUGAUUCUAUAUUUUGUAUGGAAUUAUUAUUUUAGUUUGGACAAUAGUUGGUUUGUAUGGACUUUGACAUUUAAAGUUA